ensembl:lncRNA
CUCAGAGCACACCUUUUGCCUGUUUGAAUUUACAGACACCUCGAAACAUGAAGAUGUAAUGGCUUCUAAGAGACGUAUCAAGGUGUUGGUUGCUUCUGUGCAGAUAUGGAACGUGGUUAAAGUUUUAUAAUGGAAAAUCUGACAGGCAGUUAACUAAUCCAUGAGUCAUAUUUCGUAAGUGCCUAAAGGUCUCUGAUGUUCGACCUUCAUUUGAUACCCUUGCCAUCAUGGAGUUAUACAUAACCCAUCUGAAGAACAUUCUUUAUAUAGAUGACUGCAUGCUGCCCUUUUAUACCUGCAAGAAUGAGCGCUGCACUUACUGAAACAGGGAAGUCUACUGCCUGCCUUUCCACCCCUCUCUCUCUGUGGCUGUUUACAGAACUGCAGAGUGCUUUUCAGGCUGUCAACUUCCCCUUAUCCUCCUUGUUUCCUGAUUCCCUGAGCUUGUGUAGAAACUGAUGCUGCGGCAGGGCAAGGUAAAGAACUGAAAAAUAAGUGAAGAAUUGUGACAGAAGAACAGGCGUUGCCCCAGGGACUCAUAUACUAAAACAUCUUGAAAAAAUCUUCUGAAAAACAGACCAGUUGUGAGUUGACAACCAGUCUGGCGUCCCUAGGGCAGACCAUGCAUUACAGCAGAACUCAGAGAGGCGUAAUUAUAGAGGACAGGUAGAAAGUUAGCUCCUCGAAUGGGAAUUUCUUUGCACUGGAAUACUUACCUAUUUUGAUGUCUGAUGUUUAAUUAGCACUGUUCCUCUACAAAUACAUUUCUGCCAUGCGGAAACUUUUAACUUGCUUUUAAAAGUUUUGUUCUGAAAAUGGUUCAUGUAAGGUAUUUGAACCUGCUUUGUCUAGUAGUAUUAAUAACCUGGGGCAGACAGUGUUUAUAUGGUACCAAGCACCAUGAUGGCACUUAGUAAAUAAUGAAAUAAAUCACAGGCUUUGUUUCUGUUUAAACACUGUGCUUGACCUCUGUGGAUAUCUUCUGGAUCCUGCUCAACAGCCUCAUUUGGGUGCAACUGGAUAUUGUGCCAAUUUUAUUCCAGCUCCAUUAACGUAUGGCAACAAUACAGACAGUACAUCGCCUGACAAAGAACUCAUAGUCCUCCUCUGGAUUUAUGUAGCAAGAUUUUGGCAGUGGGGUGGCCUGCAAGAAGCCAGCAGCUGCCCCGUGUCAGAUCACAGCCCUUGUAGGAGCAGCCCAGGCCUGAGCUGCAGCCCAUGGAGAGCAGCCUGCAGAGGGGCAGGAGGGCUGAGGGAGCUGCCGCCUGUGGGGAACCGUGUGGAGCAGUGCCUGAAGGGUGGGCUCCAUGGUGCGGAGCUGUGUUGGAACAGUGCUGGGAGAGCUGCAGCAUGUGGAAAGCCCAUGUGGGAUCAGACCAGGAAGGAUGCCAUCCCAUGGGACGGACCCACACAGAACAGAAGCAGAGAGUGAUCAUGGAAGAGCAGAAGACAUGAAGCUUUAUGGACUGACCGCAGCCCCCUUUCCCUAUUCCCCUGUGCUCGUUGAGGGAAGGAGGUAGGAGUUGAGCCUGAGAAAAGGUGGGUGGAGGAGAGGUGUUGUCAGUCUGUUUUUAUUUCUCAUUGCCCUAUUACUAAUAGGCCAUAAAUAAAAUAAAUCUUCCCCAAGUAGCCUAUUUUGCUUGUGACAGUAAUCACUGAGUGGUCUCCCUAUCUUUCUCUCAACCGAUGAGCUUUUCCAUUGUAUUUUCUCUUUCUGAAGAGAAGUGAGAGAGCAGCUUGGUGAGCACCUAGUGACCUGCCAAUGUUAUCCCACCACAAAAACAAUAAAAUCCUAAGUCCUUGAGCCUGCACUAAGAAUACAGAGUCAUAGAAUCUCAAGGUUGGAAAGGACCUACAAGAUCAUAUAGUUCAACUGUUCUCCCAUUACCCUUGCUACCACAAGCCACUAAACCGUAUCUCUUAGCUCCUCAUCCAGACACCUCUUGAACACCACCAGGGAUAGUGACUCCACCACCUCCCUGAGCAGGCCAUUGCAGUGCCUGACCGCUCUCUGAGAGAAAAAGUUUUUCCUUGUGUCUAAUAUCCACCAGGACUCCUAAUUUGUGUACAGGUAGAUGAGUAAAGUAGAAAAGGAAAGUGAUGAAUGCAUCCAAAGCAACAAUUACAGCACAGAGGAACCAUUGUGUCCAAACUCACUGCCCUGCUCCAGGCUUUGAGAUGUAUUCUGAAAAUACAGUUACUCUACCGGUGAUGGAUGGGGUACCCAAGCACAUGAAAGCCAACGUAGAAUUGAUGGUGUGAAGAAAACUCAUGUUAGUUAACUGUUUUAAAGUACAGAGUGGAGAGAAAUUGGAAGGAUAAGUGUUAACUGCACUGUACAAUGUUGGCCUUCCAGACCCACCUGCAGGUGCAGAAGCAGAGGGUGGACGUGCUGUAGAGAGGAACUGUGGGCUUUCCUUAGAACAGCCUGAGAGCAUUUCAGUAACCCCAGCGCUUAUGAUACGUCCCAGGGAAAUCAUACUGCAGCUGACUGCCUAGGUCACAUAUGUUUUUAAUAGAAACAUUGAAAAUUGUUUCAAGAUUGAGGCGUGUACAUGUUAAACGUUGAGGAGCUGAAGAACACAUAGAACUGUACUAAAUUGGUUUCUCAUACAGGCUGACAAAACACUCGGGAUGCAUCCUAAUCCCAAGUGCUCCCAUAAAAGCCUGCGUAUCCUUGUCCUCUCCAACCACCAAAUCAAUCUUAAACUUUUAGGCGAGGUUGCUGAACUUGCAGUCUGAUUUAAUCACUUUUCCGUCAGGAAUUGGCAAAGCUGAGAAAUAGUCUGUGGCUAACUUCAGCGUGUUUUAUAUGUUUGUGAUAUCUGUACUUUUCUAUUUUCAACGUAUAACUAAUAAAAAAAAUAAUCCCCAUUAUGCAUUUGUUAUGGAAUAAUAAUACUUACAGGAAUCAAAAGAUUACUACUAUAUGUCUUCUUUACUGCAGAAGGAGUUACAAUGAGGAGCCCUGAGGUGGCCCAGAGGGCAGGAAAGGACAACAUUCAAAACUCCAGCAACCAGUGAAAGAGGAAUUAAGGUAUUACUCACCGAAGCCUCUACAAAACCAGGCUUAAAUGCAGUUGGAAGCCUUUGCCAACUCUGGAACUCAAAUUAAAGUCUGCUAUCCCAGAAGCAAUAGCAGCCAGAGGGAAUUGGGAAGGGAUCAAGGAAGAGUGGGGUGGGAGACAAAAUCUCAAAGACCACCAAGAUGAGAGGUAUUCACCACCUUAGGCAUUAUCACACGAAGGCUGCAUGCCCUGCGGAGCCUUGAUUGCCCAACAGAAGUUAAUAUGUUGAGCACAGGGUUUCUUGGUCAGUUAUGGAGGAGGCCAAGCUAGACAAUCUGAGUCUGAAUAGUUUACAACGUGGAGUUUGAGUUUGAGCACCCUGCUGCUUGCUCUGUGAUAGUAGCUAUAGCAGUACUGAGUGGUAAAUGAGUGAGUAACGCAAGCUGGCAGAGCUGAGGCUGCAGUAAGAGGCACAUGCAUAUCUCGAUGGUUCAGGCAUGCCCCAUGUCAGCCGUGAAUUCUGCAGUUUGUGUUAAUAAGUGGAGCAUGCAAGUUGUCUGCUUGCCAUAGGGUGAGUGGCAGCCAGGCAGCCUGCAAAAAUGGAUGUCGUGGGGGCACCGAAACAAGGAGCUGAACGUACUAUCUUGAAAGAAAUCUCUACAGAAAGAAAAAAGGGAGAUACCAUUCUGCAUGUCUGGGCUAGUGUGAAUUCAUCAGGCUUUGUGUUUGAAUGGGAGCCAGGUGUAGCGUACAAGUAACUCCUGUUUGCUCUGCUUGACCUAAAUCCAAGUUUUGCUUUGUCAGGUUUUGUCCGACAUGUGUUCUGUUUCCCUACUGCGUAGUAACAGCGCUAGAGGCUGGGUGUUAGCACUGGCAAUCUGAUGAUUCAGUCACUCAAGUAUGAAGGCCAUACUGUGGCAAUAGGGAGGAAGUGAGGACGUGUAACCUUACCAUGUGUUUUGUGGUGGUCGAAGGUUUCAGUUCAUGCUGAAAGAAUUCUUAUUUGUGAAAUUUCAAAAGGAUUAAAUGCAGACUGUCCUUGCAUUCUAGACGGCAGUCAGGCACCACAAGCAACCUGCAUCUCUGCCAACAAUGCAUUUGGGGAUAUAAUGCCUUGUUCAGUUAUUUAUAAAUAGGCAUUUUCCAGGAUCGACACCUACCAGAGCCCAGCCAUCCACCUCCACUGCCUCCCUUUCCUUGGCAGCCAUUCCUGCAGCAGAAAUGCAUGGGUGGCAAGAGUCCUCCAGCUGUCCUCAUCUUCAGUCUCACUGGUUUGGGGGUGUUGUGGUGGUAAGAGAAGCAUCUGCUAUUCGAGACCCUGUCUUAAACAGCCACAUUGCCAUGAAUAAGUUUCCAGUGCUAAUAGUCAGGAACUGUAGCAGAUAGGAAGACUGCCAGCUCUUGGAUACACACUUCUGUUUGGGUCACAAGAGGAAGUCACCCUCUUGUACAAUAUCUGUGCAAACACCAAAUCCUACUCACCUCUGAUGUUCACAACAAGUUUGAGCUAAGCAAAGCACUCUACCCAUGGACAAUGCUAAGAUGCUGGUCAUCUCAGAAGAAGAUCAAGCGAGCUUGAUGUUGAAGGGAGAGUGUGAUAUAAUUGAUUGUGAGAUAUGAUGAGAUAAAUCAGGCAAUUGAAAUUACUCUUGGGUCCCAAACAUGGGUUGUAAGAUUUUUCCAAGCAGUGAAGACAUUCAGCGCGCUGCACAUUUCAGAGAUUGAGGUUUGAAACCUAACUAAACAAAUAAUGAAAAUUAAAAAAUAAAAAUAAAACCAAUAAUGAAAUGGAACAUUGUUGUGGUUUAACUCUGUUGGGCAGCUCAGCACCACACAGCUGCUCACUCACUCUCCCCACGUAGGAUUGGGGAGAGAAUUGGAAAGGUAAGCAAAACAAGGAAUUCAUUUACAGUUUCCCAUUGGCAGGCGGGUGUUCAGCCACAUCAGGAAAGCAGGGCUGAUCACCUGUAACAGUUUCUUGGGAAGAUAAAUUCCAUUACUUUGAAUGUUCCAGCCAUCCUCCUUCUUUCCCCUGCUGUUUUGUUGCUAACCAUGAUGACAUAUGGUAUGGGACAUCCCUUUGGCUAAUCUGGGUUGGCUGUCCUGGCUGUGUGUCCUCCUGACUCCUUGUGUCUCCCCAGCUCCUCAUUGCAGAGCAGUGUAAGAAGUGGAGAUGUCCUUGGCUGUGUGUAGCACAGCUCAGCAACAACUGAAAUGUCGGUGUGUUAUCACUGCUACUCAUAGAAUUGUGGAAUGGCCUUGGGUUGAAAAGGACCUCAAAGAUCAUUGAGUUUCAACCCCCCUGCUAUGUGCAGGGUCACCAACCACCAGACCAGGCUGCCCAGAGCCACAUCCAGCCUGGCCUUGAAUGCCUCCAGGGAUGGGGCAUCCACAACCUCUCUCUAUUUUCAUUGCAGAUCCAAAACACGGCAUCAUACAAGCCUCUGCAAAGAAAAUUAACUCUAUCCCAGCCAAAAUAUGACAAAUAUAAAAUCUACAAACCAAAGAAAAAAGGUGGCGACACGUCACAGGGAAGGGAUAAAAGCAACACUUUUGGUCUGAUUAGGUGUAAAACACAUAAUGUUCCCAGUGUUUUUUCUCCAUUCCAAGUCAAGAAGUAUGAAGAGGAAAAUCUUAGUGUAUGCUCCCCUUUGUGCAUUGCACCACAUAGAUACGUGAAGGAAGCCAAGCUCACAUACCAUGUAGGUAUUGUAGUGACAUGCAGGUGUCACUACAGUGUGACAGUUAGAACUAUUGCCACUCCCAGAAGAACAAGGAAAUAUUCAUAAUGUGACCACGGAGAUGGGGGAAGAAGUGGCUGUAUCUUGACAACCCCAGAUCAAAUGUUAAUUCUAAGCAAAAGUUCAUUCUAUUAUAGGUUGUCAGGUGCCAAAUAAGAGGCCAAAAACAUAUCUUGAAAGCCAGAGAAUAAUUGCCCAUGAUAUCUGGAUCAAUAUCUCAGUACACAGUGCUCCAGGCACAGAGGGUUACCAGCUCUACUGUGAGGGAACUAAGAGAAAAAAAAUUCAGUGCAUU